UACGGAGGAUCCAAGCGUUAUCCGGAUCUAUUGGGUUUAAAGGGUGCGUAGGUGGCCUAUUAAGUCAGGGGUGAAAGACGGUAGCUUAACUAUCGCAGUGCCUUUGAUACUGAUGGGCUUGAAUACAGUUGAAGUGGGCGGAAUGUGACAAGUAGCGGUGAAAUGCAUAGAUAUGUCACAGAACACCGAUUGCGAAGGCAGCUCACUAAAGUGUGAUUGACACUGAGGCACGAAAGCGUGGGGAUCAAACAGG
rnacentral:rRNA from 1 species